rnacentral:misc_RNA from 1 species
AUGGGAAAGAUGAUUGCACACUACUCGCGGAUGUUCCUCUACUAGUCUAACCGACGAUGCUUUGGUCGGUAAUGGAUGAACACUUUCGGCAAGACUACCAUACAUAUAUACACAAACAUUGUGAUGCGGAAGGUUCUAUAUACCUCACAAUAAUACGUAUACAGUUUUGAGGCACUAUCAAGGCCUCGGGAUCAUUAACGGAAAAAUUGUACGGCGACGUGCACGAA